UGGAAACUNUCCGACUUGAGUGCAGAAGGGGAGAGUGGAAUUCCAUGUGUAGCGGUGAAAUGCGUAGAUAUAUGGAGGAACACCAGUGGCGAAAGCGGCUCUCUGNUCUGUCACUGACGCAGAGGCUCGAAAGCGUGGGUAGCGAACAGGAUUAGAUACCCUGGUAGUCCACGCCGUAAACGAUGAGUGCUAGGUGUUAGGCCCUUUCCGGGGCUUAGUGCCGGAGCUAACGCAAUAAGCACUCCGCCUGGGGAGUACGACCGCAAGGUUGAAACUCAAAGGAAUUGACGGGGGCCCGCACAAGCGGUGGAGCAUGUGGUUUAAUUCGAAGCAACGCGAAGAACCUUACCAGGUCUUGACAUCCCGAUGCUAUUCUUAGAGAUAGGAAGUUACUUCGGUACAUCGGAGACAGGUGGUGCAUGGUUGUCGUCAGCUCGUGUCGUGAGAUGUUGGGUUAAGUCCCGCAACGAGCGCAACCCUUAUUGUUAGUUGCCAUCAUUAAGUUGGGCACUCUAGCGAGACUGCCGGUAAUAAACCGGAGGAAGGUGGGGAUGACGUCAAAUCAUCAUGCCCCUUAUGACCUGGGCUACACACGUGCUACAAUGGUCGGUACAAUGAGUUGCGAGCCGGUGACGGCAAGCUAAUCUCUGAAAGCCGAUCUCAGUUCGGAUUGGAGGCUGCAACUCGCCUCCAUGAAGUCGGAAUCGCUAGUAAUCGCGGAUCAGCACGCCGCGGUGAAUACGUUCCCGGGCCUUGUACACACCGCCCGUCACACCACGAGAGUUUGUAACACCCGAAGUCGGUGAGGUAACCUUUUAGGGGCCAGCCGC
rnacentral:rRNA from 1 species